rnacentral:rRNA from 1 species
AUUGAACGCUGGCGGCAUGCUUUACACAUGCAAGUCGAACGGCAGCGCGGGGCAACCUGGCGGCGAGUGGCGCACGGGUGCGUAAUAUAUCGGAACGUACCCAGAAGUGGGGGAUAACGUAGCGAAAGUUACGCUAAUACCGCAUACGAUCUACGGAUGAAAGGAGGGGACCGCCAGGCCUUCUGCUUUUGGAGCGGCCGAUAUCUGAUUAGCUAGUUGGUGAGGUAAAGGCUCACCAAGGCGACGAUCAGUAGCUGGUCUGAGAGGACGACCAGCCACACUGGAACUGAGACACGGUCCAGACUCCUACGGGAGGCAGCAGUGGGGAAUUUUGGACAAUGGGCGCAAGCCUGAUCCAGCAAUGCCGCGUGAGUGAAGAAGGCCUUCGGGUUGUAAAGCUCUUUUGUCAGGGAAGAAACGGUAGAGGCUAAUAUCCUUUGCUAAUGACGGUACCUGAAGAAUAAGCACCGGCUAACUACGUG